CCUACGGGAGGCUGCAGUGGGGAAUAUUGGACAAUGGGGGCAACCCUGAUCCAGCGACGCCGCGUGAGUGAAGAAGUCUUUCGGUACGUAAAGCUCUAUCAGCAGGAAAGAAAAUGACGGUACCUGUCUAAGAAGCCCCGGCUAACUACGUGCCAGCAGCCGCGGUAAUACUUAGGGGGCAAGCGUUAUCCGGAUUUACUGGUGGUAAAGGGAGCGUAGACGGCAGCGCAAGUCGGGAGUGAAAUGCCCGGGACCAACCCCGGAACUGCUCUGGAAACUGUGAAGCUGGAGUGCAGGAGAGGUAAGCGGAAUUCCAGGUGUAGCGGUGAAAUGCGUAGAGAUGAGGAGGAACACCGGUGGCGAAGGCGGCUUACUGGACAGUAACUGACGUUGAGGCGCGAAGGCGUGGGGAGCAAACAGGAUUAGAUACCCCUGUAGUC
rnacentral:rRNA from 1 species